AGGCGCGUAGCUCAGCUGGUUAGAGCGCUACCUUGACACGGUAGAGGUCAGCGGUUCGAAUCCGCUCGUGCCUACCA
rnacentral:tRNA from 1 species